rnacentral:rRNA from 1 species
AGAAUCAACGCUGGCGGCGUGCCUAACACAUGCAAGUCGCACGAGAAAGGGUAGCAAUACCUGAGUACAGUGGCGCACGGGUGAGUAACACGUGAAUAAUCUACCUCCGAGUGGGGAAUAACUGAGAGAAAUCUUAGCUAAUACCGCAUAACACUUACGAGUCAAAGCAGCAAUGCGCUUGGAGAGGAGUUCGCGGCAGAUUAGUUAGUUGGCGGGGUAAUGGCCCACCAAGACGAUGAUCUGUAU